UCCGGGGUAGCUCAGUGGUAGAGCGGAUGGCUGUUAACCAUUAGGUCGCUGGUUCGAGUCCAGUCCCCGGAGCCA
rnacentral:tRNA from 1 species